AUGUUGCCUGUAAUCUCUACGGAGAGGGGGGAAUACCGACUCCGCCUACUCCCGACGCAUUCAUUCACUCGUGAUGAAUGGGAUUUGCCAGGCAACAUGACUGUGCUCGCUACUCCGACCAGACAGUCUACUAUGCGUUCCCGCCAUUCAUUCGAAUUUCAAACUCCGAGAUCCUCAGCGAUUCUCCAAAUGGUUACAGAAUCUACUAGAAUCCCCAGCAACAAGAGCGCCUCUGUGAUGUCGACGAAUCGCCAUUGCAUAACCCAGAAUUGGCUCGAGCCAACAAAAGGGCACACGGAAAUUUAAUUCCAGAAAUGGUCAGCAGGCCACAGUCAAGUACGGUAAGCGAUGUAAACCUGAGAUGUAUGGAGUAUAAACUCCUAAAAUAUAUAAUUAAAAUUCAUUGGUAUAUUUUCAUAGUAGCUAGGCUUAUUUCACAAUCUUGCAAUAGGAAACUACAAAUAUUUAAUAGAUGUGGGACUGGAUGAUGACGGACAGAUGCACAGUCCAAUGGGAGCAAGUGGCAGAGAGUGACGUCCUCUCUGUCUCUCCCAGGCCGUGCUGAUGAUGUCUCUGAUCUGGAAGUACUAUGCUGACCCAGUGACGGUUCUGCCCAGUAAGUGGCUUUUCUCCUCUAGAGCGAAUGGUGGCCUUCCCAUCUGGAGUAGCAGGUAAGCCAGAUUACAGUGCCUGCCCUGAGAGGGGCUCUUAACACCAGGUGGGGUUGCGUCUUCAAUGGCUCCCUAUGUAGUGCGCUAUUGUAUUAAUGCUCUUCCAGGGCUCCAGACUGCGACCAUAUAGUUGUAUUUUGUUUCCCUUUGACUUGGCUUUGCAAGUUACAUUUCUUGUUGGUCACACUGGUGCGAGCUGUACAUUCUACCUGGUCACCUCACUCAAAACGUCUUGUUUUUUUGCGCAUAAAACCAUUAUUUGGUCUAACGGUGAAGUGCAGGAUUCCUGUAAUGAAAGUGUCUGCCCUGCUGCUGUGCCUGGUUCACACUUUUACAAUCGAGAUAUAUGAUAUGGCUUUGAAAUGCGGAGCUGUGCAUCGGCCAUUACGAGUGCACUAGGCCUCAUUGGGUAGUAGGUUUGAACUUGGUAGGAAAUCAAUUGUGUUCAAUGCAUUGAACUCGUUAAAACAUUUAUACAUUUUCCCAAGUGUAUAAUAAGACAUUUUUAUUUCACCUUUAUUUAACCAGGUAGGCCAGUUGAGAACAAGUUCUCAUUUACAACUGUGACCUGGCCAAGACAAAGCAAAGCAGUGCGACAAAUUAGAAAAAAAAAUCCUGAAAAUCACAUUGUAGGAUUUUUUAAAAUACAUUUAUUUGCAAAUUAUGGUGGAAAAUAAGUAUUUGGUCAAUAACAAAAGUUUAUCUAAAUACUUUGUUAUAUACCCUUUGUUGGCAAUGACAGAGGUCAAACGUUUUCUGUAAGUCUUCACACGGUUUUCACACACUGUUGCUGGUAUUUUGGCCCAUUCCUCCAUGCAGAUCUCCUCUAGAGCAGUGAUGUUUUGGGGCUGUUGCUGGGCAACAUGGACUUUCAACUCCCUCCAAAGAUUUUCUAUAGGGUUGAGAUCUGGAGACUGGCUAGGCCACUCCAGGACCUUGAAAUGCUUCUUACAAAGCCACUCCUUCGUUGCCCGGGCAGUGUGUUUGGGAUCAUUGUCAUGCUGAAAGAC
rnacentral:lncRNA from 1 species